AUAAUAAUAAUAAAAUAGAAUAACAAGAACAAAACUAGUAUUUAUAUAAUUUAUAUUCUAGUAAUUACAGAUAAAAUACCAAAAAAAUUAAUACCAUAAGAUUUUGGUUAAUCUCUAAUCUAGUAGUUAGAAAUAAACAUGUCUAUUUUAAAUAUCAAGAAAAGAAAGAAAUAAAAAACAUAAGACAAAAGCAGAACAAACUAAAAACACAGCAUAAUAGUGGUAUUUUUACUGUAACAUGCGGAUCCGUGUAUUUUCUUCACAAGAUUGAACUGCUUGUGGAUGUACUGCACUUGUUAUUUUAAUAAUAAAAUUUUGCAGAUCAAUUCUAUUAUCUUGAAUGGAAGAUACAAUUGCAUUAGUCCCGCUCUGCUUUAUAUUUGUAACUCCUCUGCUCUCCCAUUCAAACCCAAAGAGUGGAUUGCAUUUUUUGGUGACCCAAAAUCCAUGGGGAACCGAACAAGGCUUAUGGCUAUUAUUGGUUAUCACUACAGGACGAUGGCAAGUUUAAAAUAUUUUGGCCACUCUCAUAGUGGAAAAUAUUUUUUUUUUUAACAGCACUGGUUUUUAUUUCAUUUUCGUCAAAUGAUUGCAUGGUGAUUAACACUUUUCUUUAAACAAUCUUUUGAAUGGAUUCUCUUAUUGUAAAUCACAUUUUAUUGUGUUAAUAAUAAGUUACUUGUCAUUAGCCAUCAUUUAUAAAAGAAGUAAAUCAAAGAUAUUAACUCUGUAAAAAAAACAAAGAAAAAUGAUAUUAACUGUUUUUAGAAACUACACUGUUACAGAUUUAAGAGAAACUUAUUUCUUUACCACUCAAAUAUGUAAAAAUGAACCAAAUUUUAGAAAAGAAAACUCAAACGAAAGCAGUGCUUUUAAAGCACCACUAUUCUUUAAUAGAAAAGAAAAUCUUCUUAAUAAAGUGCAGGACACAUAAAUAACCAAACAAAAACAGACGAAAUUAUUAAGAACAUCAGUUAAAACUGGUAAUGCAUCCAUUAAAUCAUUAAGAAACACUAUAAUAUGACUUCAUAAAAUAAUACCUUUCCCUAAGUCCACCAUGCUCUUAGUCUUUCACCUAGUUCACAAAACAACAACAACAACAAAAAAA
rnacentral:sRNA from 1 species